rnacentral:rRNA from 1 species
CAGCACGGACUUCGGUCUGGUGGCGAGUGGCGAACGGGUGAGUAAUGUAUCGGAACGUGCCCAGUAGCGGGGGAUAACUACGCGAAAGCGUAGCUAAUACCGCAUACGCCCUACGGGGGAAAGCAGGGGAUCGCAAGACCUUGCACUAUUGGAGCGGCCGAUAUAGGAUUAGCUAGUUGGUGGGGUAACGGCUCACCAAGGUGACGAUCCGUAGCUGGUUUGAGAGGACGACCAGCCACACUGGGACUGAGACACGGCCCAGACUCCUACGGGAGGCAGCAGUGGGGAAUUUUGGACAAUGGGGGAAACCCUGAUCCAGCCAUCCCGCGUGUGCGAUGAAGGCCUUCGGGUUGUAAAGCACUUUUGGCAGGAAAGAAACGUCAUGGGCUAAUACCCCGUGAAACUGACGGUACCUGCAGAAUAAGCACCGGCUAACUACGUGCCAGCAGCCGCGGUAAUACGUAGGGUGCAAGCGUUAAUCGGAAUUACUGGGCGUAAAGCGUGCGCAGGCGGUUCGGAAAGAAAGAUGUGAAAUCCCAGAGCUUAACUUUGGAACUGCAUUUUUAACUACCGAGCUAGAGUGUGUCGGAGGGAGGUGGAAUUCCGCGUGUAGCAGUGAAAUGCGUAGAUAUGCGGAGGAACACCGAUGGCGAAGGCAGCCUCCUGGGAUAACACUGACGCUCAUGCACGAAAGCGUGAGGAGCAAACAGGAUUAGAUACCCUGGUAGUCCACGCCCUAAACGAUGUCAACUAGCUGUUGGGGCCUUCGGG